rnacentral:rRNA from 1 species
ACCCCUAGCAAAUCUCAAAAAACCGUCUCAGUUCGGAUUGGGCUCUGCAACUCGAGCCCAUGAAGUUGGAAUCGCUAGUAAUCGUGGAUCAGCAUGCCACGGUGAAUACGUUCCCGGGCCUUGUACACACCGCCCGUCACACCAUGGGAGUUGGUUUUACCUGAAGACGGUGCGCUAACCCGCAAGGGAGGCAGCCGGCCACGGUAGGGUCAGCGACUGGGGUGAAGA